rnacentral:rRNA from 1 species
UACGUAGGUGACAAGCGUUGUCCGGAUUUACUGGGCGUAAAGAGCGCGCAGGCGGUCGAUCAAGGCGAGUGUGAAAGCCCCCGGCUCAACUGGGGAGGGUCAUUCGAUACUGAUCGACUCGAAGGCAGGAGAGGGUAGUGGAAUUCCCGGUGUAGUGGUGAAAUGCGUAGAUAUCGGGAGGAACACCAGUGGCGAAGGCGACUACCUGGCCUGUUCUUGACGCUGAGGCGCGAAAGCUAGGGGAGCAAACGGG